rnacentral:rRNA from 1 species
AAACCAAGAAGAUUAAGUCAUACAUUUUUGGUGAAAAGAUAGUUAAGUAGUAUGAUAAAGUUUAUUUAAUUAUUAUUUAGAAGUAAAAUUUAUAAAUAGUCUAGAAAUUUAAUUAUAACUGUAAAACUGAAGCUAUGACGUCCCUGAGGGAAACUGGGAUUAGAUACCCCAUUAUUCUUGGAGAUAAAAAAGCAUAGGUUUACCAGAGUACUACGAAUUAGGUUUAUUUAAAACUCAAAGAGCUUGGCGGUGUUUUAGACUCUUCAGGGGAACCUGUCUCAUAAUCGACAAUCCACGAUAAACCUGACCUUUAUUUGCUACCAGUUUGUAUACCGUCGUCGUCAGGUAACUUUUUAGAAAAGAGAAGUUAGCGAAAGAGAAAUUGAAUAAUCUCCUACGUCAGAUCAAGGUGCAGCCGACAUAAAGGGGAGGAUGGGUUACAAUUAUCAAAAUUAUAACUACGAAAUAGUAAUUUGAAAAAUUACUAUGAAGGAGGACUUGAAAGUAAAACAGACUAUACAAAAAUUUUGAAUUGAGCUCUGAAACGUGC